UUCAAGCCUUCGACAUUAGAAGAAAGAAUUUGGGAAGAAGAAAUAACUUGUGGUACAUCAAAUACUUGAUAAUCAGGCGAAGUUGUCAAGGAGAAUGAUCAUGUGCAUAUACUACUUUUCAUGUUUAGAUUUUUUUAUAUAUUAGAUUUUAUAUCAUGGAUAUAUGGCGCCCCAAAUCCAUCUCCUCCAAGACUUAGUUCAGCAUCAUCAUCACCACACAGAUUUUAAAUGGGUCCCACUUCCUUGUGGUGGAAGAUAGAUGCCACGAUGAAAGAUCUAUUGAUUACAACAAUCAAUAAUAACGUAUUAGCGCCGGACGUCCUAGCCUGCUGAUCACAUUUCACCUGUGUACACAAAUAUGCAUGCAUCAAUGAUGUGCUUGAUGGUUAUGGUAUGGAC
rnacentral:lncRNA from 1 species